UUUCCGUAGGUGAACCUGCGGAAGGAUCAUUAACGAUGGGACUGUCUAUCUUUGUGAAGCGGGGGCUCGCCCCCUUAUACGUUGAGUCAGGUUGAACAAUGAUGAUAAUUUUUAACAAUGGAUCUCUAGGCUCUU
rnacentral:misc_RNA from 1 species